UAAAGUAAGAUAAGGUAAAGUAAGAUAAAGUAAAGUAAGGUAAAGUAAGAUAAGGUAAAGUAAGAUAAGGUAAAGUAAGAUAAAGUAAGGUAAAGUAAGGUAAGGUAAAGUAAAGUAAAGUAAAGUAAAGUAAGGUAAAGUAAAGUAAGGUAAAGUAAGGUUAAGUAAGAUAAGUAGUAAGGUAAAGUAAGGUAAAGUAAGGUAAAGUAAGGUAAGGUAAAGUAAGGUAAGGUAAAGUAAAGUAAGGUAAAGUAAGGUAAAGUAAAGUAAGGUAAAGUAAAGUAAGGUAAAGUAAAGUAAGGUAAAGUAAAGUAAAGUAAGCAGUAGUAAGAUAAAGUAAGGUAAAGUAAGUAAGGUAAAGUAAGCUAAGGUAAAGUAAAGUAAGUAAGGUAAAGUAAGGUAAAGAAAGUAAGGUAAAGUAAGAUAAAGUAAAGUAAGAAAAGUAAGGUAAAGUAA
ensembl:lncRNA